UUAGAUCGUACCCAAGUUACUUGGAUAACUGUGGUAAUUCUAGAGCUAAUACAUGCCGACAGAGUUCCGACCGUCGCCGUGCUCUCGGGCGCGGCGCGCGGGAGGAACGCUUUUAUUAGAUCAAAACCGGCCCGUCUCGGGGCGCCUCUCGCGCGCGUCCCUAUCGUGGCGGCCCGCGCAAAGACCUGGUGACUCUGAAUAACUUCGAGCUGAUCGCACGGUCUCCGUACCGGCGACGCAUCUUUCAAAUGUCUGCCUUAUCAACUGUCGACGGUAGGUUCCAUGCCUACCGUGGUGGUAACGGGUAACGGGGAAUCAGGGUUCGAUUCCGGAGAGGGAGCCUGAGAAACGGCUACCACAUCCAAGGAAGGCAGCAGGCGCGCAAAUUACCCACUCCCGGAACGGGGAGGUAGUGACGAAAAAUAACGAUACGGGACUCAUCCGAGGCCCCGUAAUCGGAAUGAGAACACUUUAAAACCUUUAAACGAGGAUCGAUUGGAGGGCAAGUCUGGUGCCAGCAGCCGCGGUAAUUCCAGCUCCA
rnacentral:rRNA from 1 species